AAUAGAAUGGUACGUUUGCGCGUGCAUGUGAAAUGCGCGUGCACGUGCGUGCAUGUGCGUGCGUGUGUGUGUGCGUGCGUGUAAUUUGGCUGUGUGUGUGUGUGUGUGUGUGUGGGGAAGCACGUGCACACUGGUGACCCUGGUGAUCUUGUUGGUAACCCUAGGGCUGUUGUUAAUUAUUGGUAACUGACCAAGGGUGUCUGAUGUAGGUGUUAUCAGUUGCUCCAAAACAAAAGAAGACCCCAUCCUGUGGAUCCAGAUUCAGUUAAAAAAUACAGUUGUAUCCCAAUAUGUGUCUUUAUGACAGUACCAUUUAAAAGUUCAAACAAACCCCUGGCUCCUGUGACCAAAUGUUUUUUGCCUGUUUGCUUUUGCCUCAGAAGACCCAUACUGAUGAUCCUGAUUCAGAUAAAAAAAGUCAGUUGGAUCCCUAAGGUGUUAUCAGUUGCUCCAUAACAAAAGAAGACCCCCUCCUGUGGAGCCUGAUUCAGUUAAAAAAAAAAAAAGUCAGUUGUAUCUAAGAGGUGCCUUUUAUUACAGUACCCAUAACAGAUCAAACAAACCCUAGGCUGCUGUGGUCAAAAAUGUUUAUGUCUUUUGAUGAUGUGGUGGUUGCUACUGUUUGCAGGCUAUAUCAACAUGGAGCCUGUAACCAUAUGUUUGGGAUGUCAUUAACUCCACCUUCAUAGUAGGUGUGUUUUACCUACUCUUACUGUAUAUAUAGUCACCAUUCAGCUGAGGUAGGGUUUACCAAACUUCAUCACCUUUUUGAAGAGGACGCUUUCUCCUAACGCAUUUCUUGCAUUUUCACAUCUCGGGGUAAUUUCUACCAAUGGCGUCUUUCCCCUGUAAGUAUACCCAUUUUUUUAUCUACCACAGUUAUUUUUUCUUCCAAUAAUACCUGUUUGUUUUUUAUAGUAAAAAUGUUGUUCUUAACAGUUUUAUUUGUUAGGUUACAUGGCCAGUGGUAGCAACCGCCACGACAGAGGUAUUGAAAACUUUCAACCUGGUGAUAAUGAAGUGCCUUCAACCAGCUACUGGGGAACACCUUUUCAGCGGAGGGGGAUCUUACAACCCCUAAACCAACUUUCAAAAGGUAUAAGAAGAUUCGGACUUUGAGGAACCAAAGAGCAGGCUUAAAAGACCAAAUAGACUUCAAUCGGGCCCUGUAAAAAAGAGGCAAAAGGAAGAGAAGGGGCGCCAUAGGGUUCAAGUGCAUACAAGGUAUGUAUAAGAUUACGGUAUUCUAUCUGUAUCUACGAUUAUUUAUUUUUUUAUGUAUGUACUAAGUUUUUUUUUUUUUUCUCCUAAUGUCAUGCAUCAGACCGGUAAUUAAUGAGGGCAACAUUGACUCAACAUUGGAUGCAGUUGUGUUGGCUUCGGUUACCGAGACGAUUCGACGUGAAGAGGCAGAGGACGUGUGUGCUGUCGUGGAUCAAUUGAAGUCGUUAUUAGCAGCGCAGAGACAGCCGACCGCAAAGCUUGUGACAGAUAUUUCUCAAGAAGAAGAGGACAUUCAGCAGGGUGAGCGGGAACCAUACAGUGAAUGGGGGGAGAAUUUGAGUGUACCAUGUGGUUAUCCUAAGCUGGAUUGUUUUGAUUCACUUGUUGAUUUUGAGGAGAAAACCUCUGACACACUCCCUGCAACACAAACGUGUGUGGGGGAGGAUAAUGAACAGCCUGGUUCUUCAGAACAAUUAGAAUUACUCGUCUGGAGCGACCUCGAGGAUAUGUUGCUAUCCUCACAACGACAGGCAAUUCAUCCUGAUCAAUUACGUACACAAAGUGUGGUUGACUGUUGUGUCACUGAGGAUUUGUCAUUAGGGGGUGGGGUUGAUAUUGGCAACCGAUUUGAUAAAUUCGAAUGCAUGGUGAACAGUAAAUUAGCAGAAAUACAGAGGGAUAACAAAGAACAAUAUGAGUCUUUGAAUAGUAAAAUAGCCGAAUUAGAAAAACAAAACAACAACUUAUUAAAUACUGUUCUGGCUGAGUGUAAAUCAGAUCUAUUAUAUAGAGGUAUUCUGACUUCUGACAUCUGUGCCCUGCAUGCAGCCAGUGGAGAACUGGUUAGAAUCCAGAAUAAUAUGGUUACGGGUCUAUCACAUAUAUCAAACAUCCUAAAAAGCAGGUCUUCAUCAUAGUGCUCAAAUAUUAGCUGAUAACAUGUCACCUCCUAGAAAAAUUUUCAAAUAUAGUGAUGACGCUGGUCGUAACGCUGCUAAUGAUGAUGAUGUUAAUGAAGUUGAUAGUGAUGAAAUCUCUCAUGUCCCUCAUACUGUCGAAGAAUAUAUUACCCAUAGUGACCAAAAUGCAAUGGGCCAUGGGCUACCACAAUUACCCUGUGUAAAAUACAAUACUGAAACUAUCAGAAAGUGGGGUGUAUUCACCAAUGCUAGGCUUGAUUCUAUUUUAGCUGAUUUGUCUACUAUUAUUCCCUCUGUAAAUAUUCCGCUUUCUGAUGCUGCUGCUGCUGCUGCUGUUGCUGUUGCUUCUACUUCUGCUUCUGCUGCAGAGACAUUUGACAUUGUGUCUGUCUGCCAUGAUUAUAAUAAUGCUUUGAUCACAGUUAAUGAUAGUGUUGAUAAUCAUGAUGACGAUGGUCGUAACGCAACCAAUGAUGAUAAUGUCAAUGAAGUAGACAGUGAUGAUGA